UGUGUGUUCCAGGUAAAUCCGGUUCACUUUAACACUGAGGCGUGAUGACGAGGCACUACGGUGCUGAAGCAACAAAUGCCCUGCUUCCAGGAAAAGCCUCUAAGCAUCAGGUAACAUCAAAUCGUACCCCAAACCGACACAGGUGGUCAGGUAGAGAAUACCAAGGCGCUUGAGAGAACUCGGGUGAAGGAACUAGGCAAAAUGGUGCCGUAACUUCGGGAGAAGGCACGCUGACACGUAGGUGAAGUGAUUUACUCAUGGAGCUGAAGUCAGUCGAAGAUACCAGCUGGCUGCAACUGUUUAUUAAAAACACAGCACUGUGCAAACACGAAAGUGGACGUAUACGGUGUGACGCCUGCCCGGUGCCGGAAGGUUAAUUGAUGGGGUCAGCGCAAGCGAAGCUCCUGAUCGAAGCCCCGGUAAACGGCGGCCGUAACUAUAACGGUCCUAAGGUAGCGAAAUUCCUUGUCGGGUAAGUUCCGACCUGCACGAAUGGCGUAAUGAUGGCCAGGCUGUCUCCACCCGAGACUCAGUGAAAUUGAACUCGCUGUGAAGAUGCAGUGUACCCGCGGCAAGACGGAAAGACCCCGUGAACCUUUACUAUAGCUUGACACUGAACAUUGAGCCUUGAUGUGUAGGAUAGGUGGGAGGCUUUGAAGUGUGGACGCCAGUCUGCAUGGAGCCGACCUUGAAAUACCACCCUUUAAUGUUUGAUGUUCUAACGUGGACCCGUAAUCCGGGUUGCGGACAGUGUCUGGUGGGUAGUUUGACUGGGGCGGUCUCCUCCUAAAGAGUAACGGAGGAGCACGAAGGUUGGCUAAUCCUGGUCGGACAUCAGGAGGUUAGUGCAAUGGCAUAAGCCAGCUUGACUGCGAGCGUGACGGCGCGAGCAGGUGCGAAAGCAGGUCAUAGUGAUCCGGUGGUUCUGAAUGGAAGGGCCAUCGCUCAACGGAUAAAAGGUACUCCGGGGAUAACAGGCUGAUACCGCCCAAGAGUUCAUAUCGACGGCGGUGUUUGGCACCUCGAUGUCGGCUCAUCACAUCCUGGGGCUGAAGUAGGUCCCAAGGGUAUGGCUGUUCGCCAUUUAAAGUGGUACGCGAGCUGGGUUUAGAACGUCGUGAGACAGUUCGGUCCCUAUCUGCCGUGGGCGCUGGAGAACUGAGGGGGGCUGCUCCUAGUACGAGAGGACCGGAGUGGACGCAUCACUGGUGUUCGGGUUGUCAUGCCAAUGGCACUGCCCGGUAGCUAAAUGCGGAAGAGAUAAGUGCUGAAAGCAUCUAAGCACGAAACUUGCCCCGA
rnacentral:rRNA from 1 species